rnacentral:rRNA from 1 species
CACUAACUGGAGGACCGAACCGACUAAUGUUGAAAAAUUAGCGGAUGACCUGUGGCUGGGGGUGAAAGGCCAAUCAAACCGGGAGAUAGCUGGUUCUCCCCGAAAGCUAUUUAGGUAGCGCCUCGUGAAUUCAUCUCCGGGGGUAGAGCACUGUUUCGGCUAGGGGGCCAUCCCGGCUUACCAACCCGAUGCAAACUGCGAAUACCGGAGAAUGUUAUCACGGGAGACACACGGCGGGUGCUAACGUCCGUCGUGAAGAGGGAAACAACCCAGACCGCCAGCUAAGGUCCCAAAGUCAUGGUUAAGUGGGAAACGAUGUGGGAAGGCCCAGACAGCCAGGAUGUUGGCUUAGAAGCAGCCAUCAUUUAAAGAAAGCGUAAUAGCUCACUGGUCGAGUCGGCCUGCGCGGAAGAUGUAACGGGGCUAAACCAUGCACCGAAGCUGCGGCAGCGACACUAUGUGUUGUUGGGUAGGGGAGCGUUCUGUAAGCCUG